rnacentral:rRNA from 1 species
AGGUCCAGCCUGCCCAGUGACUCUGUUCAACGGCCGCGGUAUUCUGACCGUGCGAAGGUAGCGUAAUCACUUGUUCUUUAAAUAAGGACUGGUAUGAAUGGCACCACGAGGGUUAUACUGUCUCCCAUUUCUAAUCAGUGAAACUAAUCUCCCCGUGAAGAAGCGGGGAUCCUACUAUAAGACGAGAAGACCCCAUGGAGCUUAAAACAAAUGGCACUUGCUAACCCCAGUUAAGCACUCUGACCAUUAGUUUUCGGUUGGGGCGACCGCGGAGAAAAACUAAUCCUCCACAUUGAAAGGAGCCUACUCCUAAACUCAAAGUUACCACUUAACGUAUCAAAACCUUGACACCCAUUGACCCAAUAAACUUGAUCAACGAACCAAGUUACCCUGGGGAUAACAGCGCAAUCCAUUUCAAGAGCUCCUAUCGACAAAUGGGUUUACGACCUCGAUGUUGGAUCAGGGUUUCCUAGUGGUGCAGCCGCUACUAACGGUUCGU